AUUGCACGCUGGCGGCAGGCUUAACCCAUGCACGUCGCGCGAGAGGCGGACGGGUGCGUAAUGUCUGGGAAACUGCCUGAGGGAGGGGGAUAACUACGGGAAACGGUAGCUAAUACCGCAUACCAUCAGAUGUGCCCAGAUGGGAUUGGCUAGUAGGUGGGGUAAAGUCUCACCUCGGCGACGAUCCCUAGCUGGUCUGAGCGGAUGACCAGCCAGACUGGAACGGAUACACGGUCCAGACUCUUACGGGAGGAAGCAGUGGGGAAUAUUGCACAAUGGGCUCAAGCCUGAUGCAGCCAUGCCGCGUGUGUGAAGAAGGCCUUCGGGUUGUAAAGCACUUUCAGCGAGGAGGCGUUACUCGCAGAAGAAGCACCGGCUAACUCCGUGCCAGCAGCCGCGGUAAUUC
rnacentral:rRNA from 1 species